rnacentral:sRNA from 1 species
UAGCUGCAUACACACCUCACAUGAGCUA